rnacentral:rRNA from 1 species
GAUGAACGCUGGCGGCGUGCCUAAUACAUGCAAGUCGAGCGAACGGACGAGAAGCUUGCUUCUCUGAUGUUAGCGGCGGACGGGUGAGUAACACGUGGAUAACCUACCUAUAAGACUGGGAUAACUUCGGGAAACCGGAGCUAAUACCGGAUGAUAUUUUGAGCCGCAUGGUUCAAAAGUGAAAGACGGUCUUGCUGUCACUUAUAGAUGGAUCCGCGCUGCAUUAGCUAGUUGGUAAGGUAACGGCUCACCAAGGAAACGAUGCAUAGCCGGCCUGAGAGGGUGAUCGGCCACACUGGAACUGAGACACGGUCCAGACUCCUACGGGAGGCAGCAGUAGGGAAUCUUCCGCAAUGGGCGAAAGCCUGACGGAGCAACGCCGCGUGAGUGAUGAAGGUCUUCGGAUCGUAAAACUCUGUUAUUAGGGAAGAACAUAUGUGUAAGUAACUGUGCACAUCUUGACGGUACCUAAUCAGAAAGCCACGGCUAACUACGUG